ACGGGUGAGUAACACGUGGGUAACCUACCUUAAACUGGGGGAUAACACUUGGAAACAGGUGCUAAUACCGCAUAACCAUCAAAACCGCCUGGUUUUGAUGUUAAAGAUGGUUCUGCUAUCGCUUUAAGAUGGACCCGCGGCGUAUUAGCUAGUUGGUGAGGUAACGGCUUACCAAGGCAAUGAUACGUAGCCGAACUGAGAGGUUGAUCGGCCACAUUGGGACUGAGACACGGCCCAAACUCCUACGGGAGGCAGCAGUAGGGAAUCUUCCACAAUGGACGAAAGUCUGAUGGAGCAACGCCGCGUGAGUGAAGAAGGUUUUCGGAUCGUAAAACUCUGUUGUCAGAGAAGAACGCGUGUGAGAGUAACUGUUCACGCAGUGACGGUAUCUGACCAGAAAGUCACGGCUAACUACGUGCCAGCAGCCGCGGUAACACGUAGGUGGCAAGCGUUGUCCGGAUUUAUUGGGCGUAAAGGGAACGCAGGCGGUCUUUUAAGUCUGAUGUGAAAGCCUUCGGCUUAACCGAAGUCGGGCAUUGGAAACUGGGAGACUUGAGUGCAGAAGAGGAGAGUGGAACUCCAUGUGUAGCGGUGAAAUGCGUAGAUAUAUGGAAGAACACCAGUGGCGAAACCGGCUCUCUGGUCUGUAACUGACGCUGAGGUUCGAAAGCGUGGGUAGCAAACAGGAUUAGAUACCCUGGUAGUCCACGCCGUAAACGAUGAAUGCUAAGUGUUGGAG
rnacentral:rRNA from 1 species